rnacentral:rRNA from 1 species
CCUACGGGAGGCAGCAGUGAGGAAUAUUGGACAAUGGCCGGAAGGCUGAUCCAGCCAUGCCGCGUGAAGGAUGAAGGUCCUAUGGAUUGUAAACUUCUUUUGUACGGGAGCAAUAAGGGCGUCGAGACGUCCGAUGAGAGUACCGUACGAAUAAGCAUCGGCUAACUCCGUGCCAGCAGCCGCGGUAA